rnacentral:misc_RNA from 1 species
UCUCCGUAGGUGAACCUGCGGAGGGAUCAUUACUGAGUGAGGGUCUCCGGGCCCGACCUCCAACCCUUUUGUGAACCACCUCGUUGCUUCGGGGGCGACCCUGCCGUCCGCGGCUGAGCGCCCCCGGGGUCAAUCAAACCCUGCGUAACUAAGUCGUCGGAGUUUAAACAAAUUAAACAAAACUUUCAACAACGGAUCUCUUGGUUCGGGCAUCGAUGAAGAACGCAGC